UCGUGAUAUAAUUAAUUGCUUCAAACUUAAAACAAUCGAUCAUAAGCGCUUCUUUUGCGCUGCGGAGCUUUGUAACCGGUGGGGCCGGGUCUUAUGCAAUGGGACGCCGUGAACCGUGUCAGAUCGGGAACGAAGCAGCACUAAGCGGAUGCUCUCAUGUGCCGUAAGCCAGCCUGGUCUUCAUUCGCUUACAGGCUCCGCAGCGCAAAAGAAGCGUUUUUUAACGG
rnacentral:SRP_RNA from 1 species